UCAUUAAAAUGCACAUCAGCACAGGGGAGCACAGCCCUGUGUCUGUGAUGAACUGGUUAAGGAUGUUGCACUCGAGCUGUUUCUGCUUGCCCUGAUGACACUGGAAAGGAAUGUGAAUGUUAAACCAUCUCUCAAUGAUUACAGAUAAGUUGAGGCCUCCAAUCAACGUAACAGUGUUGAAGAACAAUGCGAUCACUUGGGAAAACAUUCCUUUUAAAAUUUUCGAAGAAUGUUUCACUUAUCAACUAAACUUCACAACCAGCAAUGGAUGGUUUACAGAGACAUCAGACUGGAACAAUUACAACUUAGAAAAGAAACUGAACACAUUUACAGUAAAAGUAAGGUCUCGUGUUGGCGAAUUUUACUGUGGAGAUAGCCAAAUAUGGAGCGACUGGAGUGAAAGUGUCAACGUAGGAAAAGGAAGUUCCUCUGUGGAAAGAAGGAGACGGAUGAGAAGAAAAAGAAUUCCCUUUCACUCAGAGUGACGUCAUAUCAAAGCAACAUCAAGAUCAGAAGAGAAGUUCAAAUGCAGACUUCCCUUUGGCCCAUCUAAUAUCAUGCUACCAGAUUAACCCAUCCUCCUGUCCUCCCACCACAGCAUCGAGCUGUUUCUUAAAUGAGACCCAGUGUCCUGGCCUCAACCAUCAUUCCUGUAACCCCUUCCACUCUUUAAUUAAAAAGUAGAACAUUCCUGAAUUUUCCCUUUACAACCCUAAAA